UUAUUUAAGAAAUGACUGUAAUAUUUUUUCUGUCUAUGAAGAAAUAACAUAAAAAAUGUGGUGCACACUGAAUAACGCGCGUAGCGGGUUAUUUAACAGUGUGCACCACAUUUUUUAUUGUUAUUUCGAAUAGACAGAAAAAAUAUUACAGUCAUUUCUUAUAAUUUAAUUCUAAAUUCCAUUUUAAACCGUAGAAAACCUUGAAAA
rnacentral:lncRNA from 1 species